rnacentral:lncRNA from 1 species
UGCUUAAAAAUCAAAUUCUAUUUCAAAGCCAAAUUCGUACUUGCAGGCUGCCUGCCACCCUUGGCUCCAUAAAAGCCAAAACCAUCCUCCACAGAAUACUAUCAUCAAUAUAGAAUAAACACCUCAUUCUCAAAAGAAGCACCGGAGAAAGAUUAGGAAAGGAAAAGGAGGCGGGACAUAGGCUGCUUGUUAUUUCCCUCUAUUUUAUCAGCUUCUUUUGUUGUUCUUUUGUAUUUUAGUACAGACAAAAGGCAAAAUUUUAAGAACGUAAAAAGCGAAGAACUCAAGGACAAAAAGGACCCCAUUUGGCUUUGAGAUUUGAGGCUCUGAAAAAAGAGAAUAGGAGAAUUCCGGGGCUCAAUUAGGAAAAUGUUGAGAACCAACAUUUUGUUGUUGAUCAUAGUUCUGGUAUCAUUUCUUAGUUGUACAGUUAGAGCCAAAGUCUCUUAUGAUGGCAGGUCAUUCAUCAUUAAUGGUCAGAGAAAAAUUCUUAUUUCUGGCUCCAUUCAUUAUCCCAGAAGCACUCCUGAGGUAACAAUCGCCAAUAUGAAUAUCCCCUGUUUUUUUCUUUUCGAGUAUGCAUGCUUUAGUGAUGAAUUUCUUUCUGAUGAGUCUUUUUUCUUUUUUCAACUUAUUUACUUGGGGUGGGAUGCAGAUGUGGCCUGAUCUUAUACAGAAGGCUAAAGACGGAGGCUUGGAUGUGAUACAAACAUAUGUAUUUUGGAAUGUGCACGAGCCUUCUCCUGGAAGGGUAUUCUUGAAUUUCCAAUCCACUUUUUUCUUGAACAAUGAUCAAUUCUAUCUGAAAACUAAAGGUUCCUUCCUGUAAUCUAUAUUUAUCUCGAAUUUGUAUUUCUGCAGUAUAAUUUUGAGGGCAGGGGCGAUAUCGUCAGAUUCCUCAAGCUAGUAAAAGCUGCUGGUCUUUACGCCCAUCUUCGCAUUGGCCCCUACAUUUGUGCAGAAUGGAACUUUGGGUAAUGCAGAUAAAUAACUAUCUACUACAUUCAUACGUUCACAUGUAUCUUAAAUUUCUUUUAUUAAUGUUGAAAUGGGAAGUAACACUGUACUAGUAAUAGAAAUGUAUGGGUAUUGGUUUUGGUAUUGAAUUCCUCUGUUUCUUCUGUGUUUUAAUGAUGCAGGGGUUUCCCGGUCUGGCUAAAAUACGUGCCCGGCAUGGAAUUUAGGACAGACAACGGGCCUUUUAAGGUACUAACUCAACUACAGAAGGGCCCCUUUUUAAAUCCACCAAUGGCUGUGUUUUAUGGUUCGGUUUUAGUUUGACUUCUGAAAUUUACUUUUUGACCAUGACGAAGGCGGCAAUGCAAGGAUUUGUUACGAAAAUUGUCAACUUGAUGAAGUCAGAAAAUUUGUUCGAGCCUCAGGGAGGACCAAUUAUUAUGUCCCAGGUUGGAAAAUAAAUACUUGUGAUCUUUUUUUUUUUUUUUUUGUCUGUUUCCGUGUUUCUAGAUGGGUAUGGGUUCUGUUUCAUUCGUGGUUUUUCGUUUAUUACAAGGUCUGUUGCAACCAAUUCUUAGGAUUUAUUUGGGAUAUUUGCAUGUUUCCAGAUAGAGAACGAGUAUGGCCCAGUUGAGUGGGAGAUCGGAGCUCCAGGUAAAGCAUAUACCAAAUGGGCGGCACAAAUGGCUGUUGCUCAAAACACUGGUGUUCCAUGGGUCAUGUGCAAGCAAGAUGAUGCCCCUGAUCCUGUUGUAAGCAAUUCUUUCUACCACCUCUUUUUUUGCCCUUUUUUUUCCGAGUUUAUUAGGGUGAUAUAGGGCCCAAAUGGUUCCUAAAGCUUUUGGUUUUGUUUAUUUUGUCCCUGGAAAGAUUAUCUUCAAUCAGUAGAGUUUGGAUGUUUGGUUAUAUGCUUGAUAUUUGACCCAUUAGGUUUGGCUGAACAGAUUUGGCUGAUCUUACCGAGGGAAGUAAAUUAAUGCCCACAAAUAUGUCGGACAAAUCUAUUAAUCUGAAAAUGAAUUUUGUAUUCGGCUGCUGAAUUCGAUGUCUUUUCUGUUCCAGCUCUUCUCUUGAAGGUGAAUCUGCAAAAGCGUUCCAUUUUCUGUUCUCAAGCUUCUCAUACUCUUUUUAUUAUAUUGCAGAUAGACGCUUGCAAUGGUUUCUACUGUGAAGGUUUUGUUCCAAACAAGCCUUACAAACCAAAAAUGUUUACUGAAAUCUGGACUGGCUGGUGAGUCACUCGAAAAAAAAAAAAAAAAAAAUUCCCUUUUUAUCCAUUCCUGCUGUUCUCUAGGUUUUCGUGCUAAUUAGAAGUUAAGAAACCUUCUGAUGUCCCUCCUACUAUAUCCCAGGUAUACACAAUAUGGAGGACCAAAUCCCCAUCGACCAGCAGAGGACUUGGCAUAUGCAGUUGCAAGGUUUAUCCAAAACAAUGGUUCAUUUUUCAACUACUAUAUGGUUAGUCAAAUCUUAAAUGCAUAUUGGGAAACAAAUUCUAGCCCACUGCCUUUAUAUGAUUUAGGUAAUUAGCUUACUAUGUUUUGAAAUGUCUGUGUAUUUUGUGUUUUUGCAUUGGUGGCCGCAGUAUCACGGAGGAACAAAUUUUGGCCGGACUGCUUCUGGUCUUUUUGUUGCCACUAGCUAUGACUAUGAUGCUCCAAUUGAUGAAUAUGGUACGUUUCAGUAUCAUACCAAUUUUAAAUCUUCGAUAUUUUGUAAACUGCACAUAAAAUGGCAUAUGAUGAUCAAAAAGGAUGAAUGACUGUUUCGUGCAACAUCGGAUGUCCCUCACAGCAAAAGUGCAGCUCUCAAUAUGACUGCCUGUCUCUUCAGAACUUGAAUACAACUUUUCAUAUAUGUUGUGGUUAAUUUACUAGGGCUACUGAAUGAACCAAAAUGGGGGCACCUGAGAGAUCUGCAUAAGGCUAUCAAACAAUGCGAACCAGCUAUGGUUUCAACGUAUCCCACAGUUAUCUGGCUCGGGAAGAAUCAAGAGGUAAAUUGAUUCCAGUUGGUUGACAACAUCAGCAAUUUUAUUGGUGUUAUCACCUCUUACUUUCUGAAUCUAACUAUGCUUCCAUAAACUUGUUUAGGCUCAUGUGUUUAAAUCAAGAUCUGGAGCUUGUGCUGCUUUCCUUUCUAACUAUGACCCAACAUACUCGGUGAGAGUGAGCUUCCAAAAUCUUCCAUAUGACCUGCCACCCUGGUCUGUCAGUAUUCUUCCAGACUGCAAGACCGUAGUCUACAAUACUGCAAAGGUAAGGAAAUAGCUCUCUAAGGUGACCAGCGAUUGUUUUCUUCCAUUAGUCAUGAAGGAGAUUUGACAUACAUGUAAAUAUUCCUAUCUGGUCGUUCUAAUGUUUAUUCUCCCCGUUUUCUGACCAAAAUUUAAUCUUUUUCUAUGCAUUCAAAUUUCGUAGCUUUAGGCAACAAUUAAACCUAAGCAACACCAGUGUAUGGUCUUUUGCAGGUUAAUUCCCCAAGCUCAGAGCCAUUGAUGACACCUGUAGGUGGUAAAUUAUCAUGGCAGUCGUACACUGAUGAAACACCCUCUGCAGACGACAGUGAUGUGCUUGUAAUGAAUGGAUUGUGGGAGCAAUUGAACGUGACAAGAGAUUCCUCGGACUAUUUGUGGUACCUG